rnacentral:lncRNA from 1 species
GUAGAGAAAUAGCGGAAUUAUUAUGCCAUAAUUCAUACUACAGGUACAAAGGAAAUUUUUAUAAACAAAUGCAUGGCGUACCAAUAGGAAGCCCAAUGGCGGGAGUACUGGUGGAGUUAGUACUCCGCUCUGUAGAAGAAACCUUAGCAAACAACUUAAUUAAAGAAGCGGCCCUAUACACCCGAUAUGUAGACGAUAUAUUUACAAUAUGGGCAGAAGACAGCAAAGUAGAGGAACUGCAAAAUGUACUUACGAAAGAGAGCAAACAAACUGAACAUUGAACAAGUGGAGAGGAAGGAAGUACACUUUCUUCAUGUACAGAUCGUCUACCAGCCCUAGCAAUAUCAACGACAGUAUACAGAAAACCCGCAAGUAAAGAUAUAAUCAUACUGAGAUGGUCCAACGACCGGUGGAAAUAUAAGAAGGCAGCCAUUCAGUCCUAUAUUGAGAGAGCUGUGAUAAAGAAGACCAAUUAAACCUGGAAAUUGAGAAAAUAAACAAAAUAGCACAAAAGCAUGGUUACUCAAGGAACGUAGUAAGCAAGACAUAUGCAGAAGUUAAAAGAAAAAGGGAGAUAGGUAAAAAUAUAAAGACAAACGAACGCCAAGCAGAGAAUGAAUAUAACGCACAAGAAGACAAAGACAGAUACGAAGUUCUUACAGACGAAUUGGGAAGUAUGCGGACGGUACAAAAACUGCUUAAACAAAAAAGAAAGAAACCAGCCUAC